GGCGAGUGAAGCGGCAAAAGCUCAAMUUUGAAAUYUAGCACCUUCGGUGUUCGAGUUGUAAUUUGAAGAUGGUAACCUUGGGUUUGGCUCUUGUCUAUGUUCCUUGGAACAGGACGUCAUAGAGGGUGAGAAUCCCGUCUGAUGAGAUGCCCAUUCCUAUSUAAGGUKCUAUYGAAGAGUCGAGUUGUUUGGGAAUGCAGCUCUAAGUGGGUGGUAAAUUCCAUCUAAAGCUAAAUAUUGGCGAGAGACCGAUAGCGAACAAGUACAGUGAUGGAAAGAUGAAAAGAACUUUGAAAAGAGAGUGAAAAAGUACGUGAAAUUGUYGAAAGGGAAGGGCAUUAGAUCAGACUUGGUGUUUUACGAUUAUCUUCUCUUCUUGAGUUGUGCACUCGUAUUUCACUGGGCCAGCAUCGAUUCGGAUGSCAAGAUAAUGGCAGUUGAAUGUGGCUUCACUUCGGUGGAGUGUUAUAGCUUCUGCUGAUAUUGCCUGUCUGGAUCGAGGGCUGCGUCUUUUGACUAGGAUGC
rnacentral:rRNA from 1 species